rnacentral:rRNA from 1 species
GAUGAACGCUAGCGGGAGGCUUAACACAUGCAAGUCGAGGGGCAGCACGGGGUAGCAAUACUCUGGUGGCGACCGGCGCACGGGUGAGUAACACGUAUGCAACCUUCCUUUAACUGGGGGAUAGCCCGGAGAAAUUCGGAUUAAUACCCCAUAACAUCACAGAGAGGCAUCUUUUUGUGAUUAAAGCUCCGGCGGUUAAAGAUGGGCAUGCGUACCAUUAGCUAGUUGGUGAGGUAACGGCUCACCAAGGCAACGAUGGUUAGGGGGUCUGAGAGGAUGAUCCCCCACACUGGUACUGAGACACGGACCAGACUCCUACGGGAGGCUG